GUGCUCACUUAGGCAGCAUAAUAUGCUAAAAUUGGAACAAUACAGAGAAGAUUAGCAUGACCCCUGCACGAGGAUGAACGCAAAUUCAUGAAAAACAAACUU
ensembl:snRNA U6 U6 spliceosomal RNA